CGGGACGGGGUGGAGUAAUGUCUGGGAAACUGCCUGAUGGAGGGGGGUAACUACUGGAAACGGUAGCUAAUACCGCAUAACGUCGCAAGACCAAAGAGGGGGACCUUCGGGCCUCUUGCCAUCGGAUGUGCCCAGAUGGGAUUAGCAGUAGGUGGGGUAACGGCUCACCUAGGCGACGAUCCCUAGCUGGUCUGAGAGGAUGACCAGCCACACUGGAACUGAGACACGGUCCAG
rnacentral:rRNA from 1 species